UGUUCUCCAGGGAUGGCACUUUGCAGGUGACAAUCCUGGUCUGGGGCUAAGGGGAAUGGAUAGAUGAAAAAAACCCCAAUCUCUAACAGGUCAGAUCCUGAGAACUGAGUGGUAAUUCCUGCAAAGUCAGUGGUAGGGAUCUCCCUGGGAAUAAAUGCUUGGAAAUGUGCUGUUCUGUGCUUUCCUGCCACACUUCCCUCUUUUAUGAAGCUGGAUCCAGGCCUGAUCAGCAGCUGGCCCCUGAGCACCUGCCCCAGUGCAAAAUGGCCAAGUUUAUCCAGAGAGCUAAGCUGCAACAAGUCACCCUCACUUUCCUGAGCUGCAGAGUUUGCAGUGCUCUGGAGCACUGGGGUAUGGUUGGAAUUGUGCUCCAGGAAAAUGUUACCCCUGGAACAGCUCUGUUAACCUCCAGCAAGUCACUUGAAACCUGCAGUGCUGGCCCAGGCUUUCAGUGCAAACAAAGCACAAGCUGCUGUAACACAUUUGUGCCAGGGCUUCCUGAUUCCAAGUGCAGUCAGAUAUGGCCUAGAAUGAACCAUUGUUGUAACAAUGGCAAGAGAGGCUGGGGUGAAAAUCAUGUUAUUUCCUUUGGAAAGAAAAGAGUUCUAUUUUUAACUAUUUUCCCCUUAAUCUUACUAUUUUGUUCUAGCAGUGUUUAUAGCAGAGAGUACAAUACUUCUUGUUGUGAUUGUUCUUUGUGUGACUGGGACAUAAGUAGAUGUUCUGCAGCAAAUUCUCUGUCUGGGAUACAGAGCCCAAAGAGAUUAUGCUGCAGGAAGUUCUAAAAAAAACCCCAAAGCCUUACACAAUCCCCCACUCACUCCCUCCAAAAAGCCAUAACCCAAACAAAUAAGAGCCCUGAAAGACUGUCAUAGUUCCAAAAUAACCACAAAAAAAUGUGUGCUGGGUUUAAAACAGAAGGCUGGGGGAAAUGAUUGUCAGAUCCCUGGGUGUAUUUGAGAGCUGAUUUAUGUACAUGAAACAGAAAAUAAGAAACACACACUUGGGCUGUGCUUGUGUGUUCUCACUGAGACAAAUGAGCAGCUCCUCUCAUUCUUUGCUUCCCCACCUUUAUUAGCAGUCAUCUGAUCUUCCCUCUUCUUCUGCAUCUCCUGAUCCUCACCAAAAUGGCUGGAAAGAGCUUCUCUUGUGCUCUGGAGUGUUCUCCUGAGAUUGUUUCUACUACUUCAGCAAGCUCAGUAGAGCUACUUGAUGCUCAGAAGGACUUUUUGGUCUGGACUUUACAAACCUUGGACCCUGUUCAACAGUAAGUAGGCAGGAGAGAGGAGAGGGACUGCUCCCUGUCACCUGAAACAAACUUUUAAUUCAUUUCAAGCAGUUCUUUGAAACCAGAUAUUGGUAAAAGAUAAAAAAAUCCCAGGUACUUUAUCAAGAUGUCCUUCUGCCUCAGCCCUUUGCUCUCAUUUGUGUUUCCACAGCCAUCUAUGCACAAAUUACAAAUCAUUUAUCAGGCUAUGAUCUUUGCCAUUAUUUUGCAGGAUGCUGCCUGAAGGAAGGAGCAGAGCUGGAGGCUUGUGUGGGGUGGGUGAUGUAUGAAAGGGGCUUGUGGCAGUGAGUUAGGAUGGAGCACAACUCACAAAUGAAAGGGAAGCAGAUUUUCAGCAUCUCUGCCAUUGUUUAGACAAUGUGUUUUACUGAGGUUUUGAUAAAACUGGUAUUUAAAGAAAAAUCCCUAAAUCUAACCCCAUCAUGGAAACCACCUGGUUGUUGCAAGGUGAUUUGUGUGAGUGGACAAAUUGGGAAGUGCAGCUUCUUUGGAUAAUUUUGUGCUCUGAUGUGAGAAACCUUCAGGCAUCUCAUCUGCAGACUUGGCUCUUCUAUCCUAAUAUUUAGCCCUUCCAGAAUUUCUUUUGCCUGAGGAGUUCAAAGCUUUUUGCAGACUUUGUAGAGUUUUCUUUGUCAAGACACAAGACCUGUGAGAAGGUGAUGGAAAGCAGGGAGAGUGCUGGAAGCUCCUGGAUGUUCACUCUUGGUUUCCCUGCCCCUUGCAAGGAAUGGAAAUUCUUUUGGGAUGUGGCAACUCUGUCCCAAAAAGAAGAGUUCUAUUCCACAGAACCAUCUUCCAGGGUGGAUUUUAUUUUCAUUUAGUGCUAAAUCAAGUGCAGUCAGAGUUCAGCUGGGUGCCCUCAAAUGGGAUUUUGGGAUUUUCCACAUUUUGGAAUUGCUGGCUCUGUGUGAGGGUGGGAGGGCAGAGAGCUGAGCUGGGUGUGGUGCUGCCUGUGAGGUGUCUGAGAGAGAAUUGACUCUUGCAUAAACCUGCACAGCUUUUUCCCAGUUCCCCUUUACACAAAGUUGAAUAUUACCCAGGAGCUGUGUGGCUGGUUGGAAACUGAGGGCUUUUUCUGGGCAACACUGAGCUGCCUUUCAGUGGGAAAGGGAGUAGAGGGAGCUGUGGGAACAGGAGGGGCUCUGUGCCAGUUCUCAGGGUCAGAACAAGCUGGAGCAGGCAGACAGGUACCCAGCCAGCUCCACCAGCAGAGUUCAACUCAGCCUCAGCUUGCUGGGCCUGAAUUAAAUCAGCAUUACCAGAGCACCAGGAGAAGGAAGGUUUCACCCAGGGAUAAGCUGUGAGUCUGCUUAACAAGCCAGGGAUUCAGGAGCUCUCAGUGCCCUGGGAAGUCUGACAGCUCUGCAGUAUCACAGAUUUCAUGGACCCAUUGCUAGGAGUGUGUUAGGAGUGGGGAUUUUGCAGUGGCACCACGAGCAGCCCCUGUGUGUCAGUCAGAUGAACUGCAGCACUUUGGGCUGCAAUUCUGCUGAGCAGUGGCUGCAGUCACAUUUUUGCUUAGAAAACUCAGAGUUCAAAGAUAUCCCAAUGCUUCCAUGUGCUCCAGGGAUGGCAGUUUGCAGGUCACAAUCCUGGUCUGGGGCUAAGGGGAAUGGAUAGAUUAAAAAACCACAAUGUCUAACAGGUUCAGAUCCUGAGAACUGUAAAAAGGACCCAAGAUCCUGAGAACUGUAAAAAGGACCCCAAACUGGUCCUUUCCAAGUGCUGCUGCCUCACACUCAGCUCUUUGUGUGGCUGAUGUGAGAGCUCAUUGCUGGAGCAGCUGGGAUGGUGCCCUUGGGGAUGAAGGUGUCAUAGGAUGGAGCUGCCCAGAGCAGAGCUUAAUCAGAAUGUCACACACCAAAAGCUGAUUUUUGAUGUUUUACUGCUUAUUACAAACAUACUUUGUGUGUCUUUCACCCACCUUAGAGAAAUGUGGGAUGGCAUGGAAGACACAUCACAAAGUACAGCAAGUCACCCUGAGAAGCAGGUACACCUACAAGUGUGGAAAGCUAAGUCUGAAAUCAUCUGAAUAACGUGGUUUGUAGCAGCUCAUUAGCCUGGCAAGCAGAAUUUCCUGCCUGUGUUGGUAGCCUGCUUGCUACAGUUAAUCAGCAACCUGCCUAAUCUCACUAACCUCCUUUUUGUAACCUGCCUAACUGUUGUGUAAUCUGCUUUUGGCACUGAGCCCUGGCUAUUAGUAGCAAGUUUGGAGCUGUGCAGGUGCAAAUGUUUUUAUUUUCUGUCCUGUUGACAACUGGCUUUCCAGGUGUUUGUGAAGUUCAGCCUGGUCUCAUGGUGGUAAUGAUCAGAAAAUGAGGGGAUUUCUGGCCUGUUACCAUCUGCUCCUCUGUGCCACAGCCCCUGGGCCUGGGGGGACUGUCCCAGUGGCUGAUCCUGGGCUGCAGCUCCGUGGGACAGGGAUCAUGGCUGGCCACAGCUGCUGGGGACACCCUGCUGGCCCUGUCACCUGCUGACCUUGGCCCUGGGACCCCUGAUUGCUCUGCUGGGAUUUCAGCACACAGGAGGGACAGGAAUUUGUCUGAUACUAUUUGUAAGUCUUAGUUCAUUCCUCAAAUCCCUGGAAUUCCUGUUGAAGAAAGAAGCAAUUUUGAGUUUUGCUGGAGUAUGCAAGGGGGUUUUUUUGCUGGUUUUUUGGGUUUUGUUUUUUUUUUUCCUAAAACCAAAAGAGAUGUAAAGCUAAAAUACCACUGAAGGGUGAGGAGGACAUACACCAAACUAUUUUAAAUUUGAUCUCAUUUUAUUUAUCUAAUAUCAAUAUAUCUAAUUUCAUUAGUUUAAUGUUGUAAGCCAGCAGCUGUCAUAUCUUGUUAUAAUGAACUAAGCAGUGUUCCUGGACAAUGUAUUCUGUAUGCAAAACUGAUGUUUGACUUCAGCUUGUGGGCAAUGGGGCAGACACACUGUUAGAAAUAAUUUUUAAUAAUAUAUCUUGAUCUUUAGAGUGCCUGUUAUCUGCCAAACUCAGGCAAGUGUUUUGCUUGCUGCCAUUAGAGAAGCCUUGAGGAUUCCACCUGAGACCAGAAUUCAUUCCAAACCAGGAAUGGCUUUCAACAUUUGCUUCAAGAAUUUGAAUUCUUUUGUUAUUCUCUUCAUCUGGAGCAGCUGGAAAAGCUUUUUGGACUUUCAUCUCAUUAUCCUCCCUGUCUGAAAACUCUGCUGCUCCAAGUGAUUUCCAUAAGUGGUUCCUUUAAUACCUCAAGGUUUCUUCACCCAUUCAUGAGGAUCUUCCUUUUCCUACAAAGAGAAUGAAAUAAUGAGGCUGCAGCUCACUCUGGGAACACAGGAGCACCAAUGCCACAGAAGAGUGCAACAAAGAAGAGUAACACAAAGGUAAAUUAUUUUCUUGGUGGAAACCAGCAACUUGAGCUCUCUGACUGGAAAACAACCAGAAUUCCUGCACUGGCAGGUCUCCUCAACAAAGAGGUACAAAUUCACAGCAUAUUGGAUGUGUAGCAAAGCACCAAGUUUUUCUCUGGUGUUUGAUACACUUUUUAAUAAUAUAUCUUGAUUUUUAGAGUGCCUGUUAUCUGCCAAGCUCAGAAAAAUGUUUUGCUUCCUGCCAGUGAGGAUUCUACAUGAGACCAGAAUUCAUUCCAAACCAGGAAUGGCUUUCAACAUUUGCUUCAAGAAUUUGAAUUCUUUUGUUAUUCUCUUCAUCUGGAGCAGCUGUAAAAGGUAAUGAUGUGAUAAUUUCUUCCUCAAAGGAAAAGAGAGCAUGACCUGCUUGGUGUUGUGGUAACCAUGGACAGGAGGGGAUGGUUCCUAGAGGAAGCAAUAUUGUAAAUACAGAAAGUGCUUCCAAAAGCACAGCCAGCAGUGCAAGAGGCUCCUGAGCCCCAGCCCUUCCUCAGUGCCCUUCCUCCUCAGAAUCAUCACUCUCAUACUCCUCAUCCUCAUACUGGAAGGCACCCUCAGCUUCAGGGUCAGACUGAGCUUCCUCUUCAUGGGAGCCAUCAGACCUGGGUCUGGACUCAUCCUCCUCUUCCUCCUCCUCCUGGCAAUGGCCACGGGAUGGGCCUGCCUUGGCUUCCUCCUCCUCUUCCUCCUCCUGGGAAUGGUCCAGAGAUGAGCCUGCCUUGGCUUCCUCCUCCUCUUCCUCCUCCUGGGAAUGGUCCAGAGAUGGGCCUGCCUUGGCUUCCUCCUCCUCUUCCUCCUCCUGGGAAUGGUCCAGAGAUGGGCCUGGUUUUUCUUCUUCCUCCUCUUCCUCCUCCUGGGAAUGGUCCAGAGAUGGGCCUGGUUUUUCUUCUUCCUCCUCUUCCUCCUGGGAAUGACCAAGUGAUGGACCUGCCUUUGCUUCCUCUUCCUCCUCCUCUUCCUCCUGGGAAUGGCCAAGUGACAGGUCUGCCUUGGCUUCCUCCUCUUCCUCCUCUUCCUCCCCCUGGUCACUGUGCUGGUUGGAUUCAGGCUCAAGGACAUCAGGGCUGGCCCUGGCCUCACCCCCAUCCUCCAGGUCACUGCACUGCUCAUCUGGGGUGGAGGUUUUGACACCUUUCCCCUUCUCUUCCUCCUCCUCCUCCCAGGACUGCUCAGACUGGGGACUGUCACCAGCUGCUUCCUCAAAGAAUUUAAUUUUCUUCACUUUAACCUUGGUGGUUCUGAAAAGACAAAUUGCAUGUGGGGUUUUAUUCUCUGGGAAGAUGCUUUCCACCUUUAUGUAACCCAGGACAAAGCCUGGUAGCCCUGGCUGGGGUGGAACUGGGGAAGGAAAAGAGAAGGGGGGACACAAGAGUCCCUUUUUAUGCUAGAAAGUAACUGAACAAUAUUACUUAUAUAUUUCUUUUUUUUAAAUUUAAUUUCUGCUUCCUUUCAAAUCAUAACACCCAAUAGAUACUAAAAACUAUUUUUAAUAAGGUUCACUUAAAAAAUUCAAAAUUUAAAGGUAGUGACUUACAGCAACCUGCCAGAAUUUUGGAUGAAAGGAACAAACAAUGUUUUUCUUCUUUUUUUUCUUUAAAGUGCAUUAAAUAACAUAACAGGUUGGUUAAGCAGCUCUCCUCUGUUUUACAAAAUAAUAUUUAAUUCAGGAAAACCAAUCAAAAAUACACACUAAUGCUAACAUACCACAUAGUCAAAUAGUUCCCUGGAAAAUACUGAAAAUCAUUAAAACUCCCUUAAAUCUACACAUGGAAAUUUUUCUAAUUACUAGAUACAUAGUAGGUAUUUUUAGUAGGUAAAAAGAAAAAGCUUUCAGUCAUCUGUACCUUGCUCUGCCAGCAAUGGAGGUGAAAUCUCCAGCAGUGGAGAAGUGCAGUGAUUUGGCUGCUCCUCCUUUCUUUGAAACAAACUCUGGGCAGAUCCCCAGUGCUCUCAGUCUCUUUGAAUAAUACUUUUCUGCAGCUAUUCUGGCAUUUUUCUGUAGAAAAACCACAAUGGUUAAAUGUUACCUAAUGCAUCAAAUGCCUGGCUUUUGAUACUUUGAUUUAAAUCAAUCCUCUGAUUCAUUAAUUGCUGCUGACAACUGGAAAUGAUUAUUCACUGCAGGUAAGAAUGGCAAAACAAUACUUGAAAAUUUUCUCCCAGAUUUUACUUUCCUGUACCAGCAAUGCUUGGCUGUGGUCAGGGUUACUCACGUUGGAACUGAACCAGACACAUUUACAACAGCUCUCAGUUCCCUGUGCAAGCACAUCUCCAAAAUGACUGAUAUUUACAUGGAGGUGGGGCAACAGAGAUGGAAAUGGAGAAACACUGCCCUGAAAAGUGCUUUUGAAGUAUCUUCUAAAAAUGUCAGAGCACAAAUGUCUCAUUCAGUAUCAGUCAAGAUUAACUAAUAGCUCAGAAACAAAGCAACCUGAGUGACUCUUUCAAAAAGCAAUGGCAUUUGUUUUACUCUUUCUUCCAUUUCUUGCAAUUCUUGUAAAUAUUCCUGCCUUCUCUGCUUCUCGUUGUUCCUGAGGGGAGCAGAGAACAAGAGAAAUCAUUAUUAAUUUAUAGCACAAGGAGUCAUUUUCUACAGCAGGUAAAUUGCUCAGAACAAAUUAAAUGUUGUCAUACUUCAAGAUACAUUAGAGGUACUGAACAAUUUGUCUCUGAAGGAGUCACUUUGGCUAGGCAGAGGCAGGUCCUGGCUACUGGACUUAAAUAGAGGCUGAGUUUGGAUUCUUGGGGUUUUUGGUAAAAGAAAAUUGGAUAUUUAGGGUUUUUUACAUGCUGAUUUCAUACAGAUCUUCCCGUUGUUGUAAGCAAAAUUUAACAGAGUACACCACAGGAAAUUAGGAGCAUUAAAUAAAGAUGAGUAGUUCUCAAGUC